GAUUUUGAUCCUGGCUCAGGACGAACGCUGGCGGCGAGCCUAACACAUGCAAGUCGAACGAGAUGCUUCGGGUAUCUAGUGGCGAACGGGUGAGUAACACGUGAGAAACCUGCCCCGAAGACGGGGAUAACCAUGGGAAACUGUGGCUAAUACCCGAUGCCCCCGAUGCGGCGCAUGCCGCGACGAGGAAAGGCUCCGGUGCUUCGGGAGGGUCUCGCGGCCUAUCAGCUAGUUGGUGAGGUAACGGCUCACCAAGGCUUCGACGGGUAGCUGGUCUGAGAGGACGAUCAGCCACACUGGGACUGAGACACGGCCCAGACUCCUGCGGGAGGCAGCAGUGGGGAAUCUUGCGCAAUGGGCGAAAGCCUGACGCAGCCACGCCGCGUGGGGGACGAAGGCCCUCGGGUUGUAAACCCCUUUCAGCAGGGACGAAAAUGACGGUACCUGCAGAAGAAGCUCCGGCCAACUACGUGCCAGCAGCCGCGGUAACACGUAGGGAGCGAGCGUUGUCCGGAUUCAUUGGGCGUAAAGGGCUCGUAGGCGGUUUGGUAAGUCAGGUGUGAAAGCUCAGGGCUCAACUCUGAGAAGCCAUCUGAUACUGCCAUGACUAGAGUUCGGUAGAGGAGCGUGGAAUUUCCGGUGUAGCGGUGAAAUGCUCAGAUAUCGGGAGGAACACCAGCAGCGAAGGCGGCGCUCUGGGCCGAAACUGACGCUGAGGAGCGAAAGCGUGGGUAGCAAACAGGAUUAGAUACCCUGGUAGUC
rnacentral:rRNA from 1 species